rnacentral:rRNA from 1 species
UACGUAGGGGGCUAGCGUUGUCCGGAAUCAUUGGGCGUAAAGAGCGUGUAGGCGGUCCGGCAAGUCCGCUGUGAAAGUCGGGGGCUCAACCCUCGAAUGCCGGUGGAUACUGUCGGGCUAGAGUGCGGAAGAGGCGAGUGGGAAUUCCUGGUGUAGCGGUGAAAUGCGCAGAUAUCAGGAGGAACACCGAUGGCGAAGGCAGCUCGCUGGGACGGUACUGACGCUGAGGCGCGAAAGCUGGGGGAGCGAACGGG